rnacentral:rRNA from 1 species
AUUGAACGCUGGCGGCAGGCUUAACACAUGCAAGUCGAACGAGCGGCGGACGGGUGAGUAACGUCUGGGAACCUGCCCGUUGGAGGGGGAUAACUACUGGAAACGGUAGCUAAUACCGCAUACCAUCAGCUGUGCCAUGAUGGGAUUAGCUAGUAGGUGGGGUAAUGGCCCACCUAGGCGACGAUCCCUAGCUGGUCUGAGAGGAUGACCGGCCACAUGGGAACUGAGACACGGCCCAGACUCCUACGGGAGGCAGCAGUGGGGAAUAUUGCACAAGGGGCGAAAGCCUGAUGCAGCCAUGCCGCGUGUGUGAAGAAGGCCUUCGGGUUGUAAAGCACUUUCAGCCAGGAGGCGGGACUCGGAGAAGAAGCACCGGCUAACUCCGUGCCAGCACCCGCGGUAAUAC